UCUCUCCUUUGUUUGCUUAGGAUGAAUGCAAUGAAAGACAGAAAAACAGAAAAAAGAAUCUAACAGCAUUAAUGAAUGAGAUAUUGAGGCAACUGAAAGAGCACUGGUCAUCCAUCCAGUGAAUACAAUGGGAUAUAGGACUGCCAUGGGGAAGGAUUCGUGCAUUUCUAAACAUACAUACACAUUUCAGAUUACACCACUCUGUAUAUUAUUCUCCACUGAAGAUGAGAUGAGGACAGGAACAGCAAGUAGUUUGCACCUUCAAAAUGAAGCAAUGGAUUUUCCCAUGAGUAGACAAAAGCUUCCUAUCUGCACGAAUGGAAGCCUUUUCCCAGUAUGGAAUGCACAUCAGCCUGUGAAAAUGUAUAGUGAAAUGGGAGCUCUCUAGCAGAGACCACUAGAGCAAUCCACCUCUUUCUGCUGGACACCAGCUGAUGGCCCACAGCAUAUGUUUGUGCUUUCCAGCACGUACGAAUACUGGAUAACUAGACAAUUUCAUCAGCAUGUGCAAAUGUGGAUGCUUUUACAAAUGCGUGAGUCUUCAAUUUAAACAGGUAUGAAGAAAAACUGUGGGUGAGGUCAUUGGCUGGCAAAAAGCAAGAAUCUGAAAACAUAAAGGAGAAAAUAUUUUUGUUGAUGUAUUUUUAAGAACAGAAAAAUAGAGCUUAAAUGUGUGCAGCACAGUUAUUAGUUAAUUACAUUGAUGAAAUCAUAUGCGUGUUAAAAUUCAUCAUCAAUAAAUUACUUUUUGUGAAAAAAGACUCAAGAACACCUCAUUUUACUGAGGCUUUAAAUUGGGUAAGUCAACAAGGGUAACACCUUACCACCCAUUUACAAUUCCUCCAUUUUAUCCUACCAUUAAAUUCUGAACACAGGGCUGCCUAAGGGUGAUCACAUGCUUUAAAACAAUUUUCCAUAUUUUUUUCUUUUUUACCACAAUCAAGCAAAGGUUUUAGCCAAAUGUGUAAAUGCAAGAACCUACCAAUAAGUGAGAUACUGGCCACUCAUCCGUCAGUGAGCUGGCUUCACUUUCUGGUCUUGCAUAUUGUGGCAAUUUACCUAUAAGUACUAGCCACAAUAGUAGCACCUAUAUUGCAUUGUGACUCCUGUUCUCAUUUCCUAUGGAUUGCCUAUCUUUUACCUAUGCCAUUAGGAAGUAAAUCUGAAAAGGACCAUAGAUGACAGACAUGCUAUUUGCCUUUAAGGUCCGUUAUAGGGGCAACAAAAAAAGACAACGUCCUAACUAAGGUAGGAAAGUUCUUUUCUCUAGUGCCUAUAUAGAAAAAGUAGGUUCUUAAAAAGUUGAUUCAAAGUAGAUGGCCUGAAAACU